rnacentral:tRNA from 1 species
UCGGGGUGUGGCGCAGCCUGGUAGCGCGCUUGCUUCGGGAGCAAGAAGCCGGAGGUUCGAAUCCUCUCACCCCGAU